GAGUUUGAUCGUGGCUCAGGAUGAACGCUAGCGGCAGGCUUAACACAUGCAAGUCGAGGGGCAGCACGGGUAGCAAUACCUGGUGGCGACCGGCAAACGGGUGCGGAACACGUAUGCAAUCUGCCUUUAACCGGGGGAGUAGCCUUCCGAAAGGAAGAUUAAUACCGCAUAACACAGCAGAGCGGCAUCGCUUCACUGUUAAAGCUUCGGUGGUUAAAGAUGAGCAUGCGAGUCAUUAGCUAGUUGGUGAGGUAACGGCUCACCAAGGCGACGAUGACCAGGGGAGUCUGAGAGGAUGGUCCCCCACCACUGGUACUGAGACACGGACCCAGACUCCUACGGGAGGGCAGCAGUAAGGAAUAUUGGUCAAUGGACGAAAGUCUGAACCAGCCAUGCCGCGUGCAGGAAGACGGCCCUACGGGUUGUAAACUGCUUUUGUCAGGGAAUAAAUCAUCCUACGUGUAGAAUGUUGAAGGUACCUGAAGAAUAAGGAUCGGCUAACU
rnacentral:rRNA from 1 species